AGUGAACGCUGGCGGUAGGCCUAACACAUGCAAGUCGAACGGCAGCACAGUAAGAGCUUGCUCUUACGGGUGGCGAGUGGCGGACGGGUGAGGAAUACAUCGGAAUCUACUUUUUCGUGGGGGAUAACGUAGGGAAACUUACGCUAAUACCGCAUACGACCUACGGGUGAAAGCAGGGGAUCUUCGGACCUUGCGCGAUUGAAUGAGCCGAUGUCGGAUUAGCUAGUUGGCGGGGUAAAGGCCCACCAAGGCGACGAUCCGUAGCUGGUCUGAGAGGAUGAUCAGCCACACUGGCACUGAGACACGGUCCCGACUCCUACGGGAGGCCGCAGUGGGGAAUAUUGGACAAUGGGGGCAAGCCUGAUCCAGCCAUACCGCGUGGGUGAAGAAGGCCUUCGGGUUGUAAAGCCCUUUUGUUGGGAAAGAAAAGCAGCAGGUUAAUACCCCGCUGUUCUGACGGUACCCAAAGAAUAAGCACCGGCUAACUUCGUG
rnacentral:rRNA from 1 species